AGCCGCUAUGGUGAAAUUGGUANA
rnacentral:tRNA from 1 species